rnacentral:lncRNA from 1 species
AAGUCACACAAUAUACCGUCUCUCCUGAUCAACGUUAAACAAAGUAUCUAUCAAAUAUGUAUUGUUUUGAAAAGUUACAAAGCCAAACUUAACUAUUAUUCUCUUUUAUUUUUAUUAUAAUAAUUUUUUAAAACAUAUUAAAUAAGUAAUGCAUUCAGUCUAUUAUAUAGACCAUAUACCUUAACUAUACAAUAAAUUAAAAAAGUACAUUUUUUUAAUAAUAAAGAUCAAAAGAAAUAGUGUUCAUCCAUGUUAGAUCAUGGGUCUUGUAUAAACAAAACUACAUAAUUACCAACAAAAUAUCUUCCAACAUUUGUUACUUCAUUAGAUUCAUUAUUUAUGGAUGGUUUGUAUAUCAUCGUAUUCCUCAGCAACUUCUUUGAUUGUCUCCAAAGUAGGAUAAUUUGAAGGUUUUGUUGGAAAAAUAAUGGGUAAAGGAGCAACCUCCAUCCAAGAACUUAUAUUUCUUAUUCCCUUUGCCAUUGUAUGCUUGUUUGAAUACCAAACUUUUGUAAUGGAAAAAUAAACUUAGUAAAUUCCUCUCCUCCUCUAAAAUCUAGAAAGAAGAGAGUCUUUGAAAGAGUAAUGAUCUAAGAAUUAAGAUUGUUUGGAGAUUGU